rnacentral:rRNA from 1 species
UACAGAGGGGGCAAGCGUUGUUCGGAAUUACUGGGCGUAAAGGGCGCGUAGGCGGCCUGUUAAGUCGGACGUGAAAUCCCUCGGCUCAACCGGGGAACUGCGUCCGAUACUGGCGGGCUUGAAUUCGGGAGAGGGAUGUGGAAUUCCAGGUGUAGCGGUGAAAUGUGUAGAGAUCGGGAGGAACACCGGUGGCGAAGGCGGUCUUCUGGACGGUGACUGACGGCUGAGGCGCGAAAGCGUGGGGAGCAAACGGG